rnacentral:lncRNA from 1 species
UAAUGGGAAAUGCCUAAUUUUGAAUCUAUAAAGUUAAAGUUCAAGUAUUUGUAAGCAUGUAUGUAGUAAUCCUUUUGUUCUAUUUUCAGUAAAUUCUUCUGCUUCUACGAUCUCUGCCAAUCUCAAUAGCAUCCCUGUGCUUAACGACACAAAUUUUAAGGAAUGGAAAGAGAAUGUAAUGAUCAUUCUCGGUUGCAUGGAUCUUGACUU